ACUUUGGGAGGCUGAGGCAGGCAGAUCACCUAAGGCCAGGAAUUCGACACCAGCCUGGCCAACGUGGCAAAACCCGUCUCUACUAAAAAUACAAAAAUUAGCCGGGCGUGGUGGUGUGCGCCUGGAAUCCCAGCUACCCAGGAGGCUGAGGCAGGAGAAAUGCUGGAACCCGGGAGGCAGAGGCUGCAGUGAGCUGAGAUCAUGCCACUACUGCACUCCAGCCUGGGUGACACAGCAAGACUCCCUCUAAAAAAAGAAAAAAAGAAAAGAAAAGAAAAGAAAAUGAUAUAUCCAUGAUGAAUUAAAAUGGAGUGGAACCCACUGAUGGUAUGCAGCUGAUAAGACGCUAUAGAGAAAUGAUAUCCGGACACAUGGACAAAGGAAAAGUAAACCGCUGGUUUAGAGUCUUUGGAAGGCAAUUGUAUCUGACUAGAAUUUAAUAUUAUUGUUUUUCUUUCAUUGUAUUGCAUUUAUCUGUAUGGCUAGUUAAACUGAUUUUCCAUUUAAAAGUAGUAAUGCAUUUUUUUAUAAUUACAUUGUUUUAAGUAAACAAGAAUUAUUCAAAGGACAAAAACACUAGCACAGAUGGCAUUCAAUGAUUGCAGAUAUCAUAAAGAUAGUUCAUGAAUGACAAAGAUUUGAGAAGUACUGUGUUCACGAUGCUUCCUGGAAGAGGUGGGUUAUACAGUGUUUCUUAGAGAAAGGGAUAGGGGUCUACUGCUAGGAGGGAAAGAUGAAGCUACUUAGGGGGACUAGGAAACACGCAGUUGGCCUGCCCUCUGCUUGGAGAUCACAGCCAAGGAAACACAGGAGAGGCACCCCCUGGAGGAGCUCCGUGGGCUGCAGGGCUGACGUGGCCCAGGCCUGGGCAACAAGAGCGAAACCCCAUCUCAAAACCACAACAACAACAACAGGACAACAGAGAUGGACGACGGAUCGGGAAAGCCAACCAGACAGCGUGAGGCCAGGACGGAAAGAGGCACAGGGAGCUCUGCUCAGUGUCGCUACAGGGGAUCUCUCAGGCUCACAACGGGCCACUCCUCUAGGGAAGUUCUGGUCUCAUCAUGAUCCUUGUUUGGUCUCACUCCCCAUGUCCUUCUCUGUCCCUCCUCCAACUGCCAUUUAUUUAUUUAACUGAAAAAGUACCAAUCACCCACAUAGGCAUGACAUACUCAUCCAUGUACCCAUUUCUUAAAAUUGAUCAUUGUUAACAUUUGGUGUAAUUUGCUUUAUUUAUUUUUAAUGAAAUAAAUAAAACUUUACAGAAAAUGCUUUAUUUUUCUCUUUGUUCCCUCCCCAUCCUAUAUUUUUCUCCUAAAAAACCCUAUUAUCAGAAAUAUUAGUGUGUAUUCCCAGUUUCGACUUUUUAUUUUAUUACACACACACUCCCACACAUAGCUGUGACAAUGAACUUCACAUAGUAUGGUUCUGUAUUUUCUCUUUGUUUUUCAAACUUACAUAAGUAUUUUACUAUUUCUCAUGGAAAAACUCACUUUUCCCAUCCAACGUUAUGUUUCCUUAAGAUCUCUCUAUGUUGAUAUAAAGAAAUCUAGCUCAUUCUUUUUAAUGAAAAUAAAGUAUAUUUUAUGAAUGUAACUCAUGCUAACCAUGGCAAUAAAAGCUCCAUCAAGCAUGCAUUUAGU
rnacentral:lncRNA from 1 species